rnacentral:rRNA from 1 species
GACGAACGCUGGCGGCGUGCUUAACACAUGCAAGUCGAACGAAGAGCGAUGGAAGCUUGCUUCUAUCAAUCUUAGUGGCGAACGGGUGAGUAACGCGUAAUCAACCUGCCCUUCAGGGGGGGACAACAGUUGGAAACGACUGCUAAUACCGCAUACGAUCCAAUCUCGGCAUCGGGACUGGAUGAAAGGUGGCCUCUAUUUAUAAGCUAUCACUGAAGGAGGGGAUUGCGUCUGAUUAGCUAGUUGGAGGGGUAACGGCCCACCAAGGCGAUGAUCAGUAGCCGGUCUGAGAGGAUGAACGGCCACAUUGGGACUGAGACACGGCCCAGACUCCUACGGGAGGCAGCAGUGGGGAAUCUUCCGCAAUGGACGAAAGUCUGACGGAGCAACGCCGCGUGAGUGAUGACGGCCUUCGGGUUGUAAAGCUCUGUUAAUCGGGACGAAUGGUUCUUGUGCGAAUAGUGCGAGGAUUUGACGGUACCGGAAUAGAAAGCCACGGCUAACUACGUG